GUGGUCAGAAAAUGAUAGUGCAAACUGAAAAAAAGAAAACAUGCCAUAUAUAUAUAUAUAACACACAAUGUUUCUAUUUCUCCUCUUCGGUUGUAGUGCUUGCCCUGGCUCUGAGUUUUCUGAACUAGAUUAUAAUGGUGAUUAAAGGUGACUUUCAAUGUUUUAUUCAAUGCUGUAAAUCCCACGGGAGUAACCGUUCUCCCUGAACUUUGGGCUGUUAGCUAAUAUUGUGAAAUUAUGCCAAAUCAGCAUGUUGAAUUCUGCAAACUAGAUAUCUCGAUUUGAAAUCCACUUUACUAAACUUGCUUGGCUUACUGAGCACAUUGAAAAUGUAGUUUACAAAUAUCUGAAGCCCUUAGGUUACGAUAACUAUUUUUUUUUUUUAAUCCAGAACGUUUAAACCAAUCAAUAGGUUGCAACAUAGAAAUAAAAGAUACCAUAGUACGUCUAACAGCAUGUAACACAAAAAGCAAAAAAUAUAUCUUUUUAGCAUUGGUCCUUUCAUUUCUUUAUACCUUAGAUAUCAGAUGUGCACAACAAAAUGUUAAAGCAACAAACUGGAACAAUAACUACUGAAACAGUAUAACUAUUCCUGCCUUCAAAUUACGGCUUACACAAAG